GACGAACCGAGCGAACGUUGUUCGGAAUCACUGGGCUUAAAGGGCGCGUAGGCGGGCCGCCGCGUCCGGGGUGAAAUCCUCCCGCUCAACGGGAGAACGGCCUCGGAUACGGGCGGCCUGGAGGGGGGUAGGGGCGUGCGGAACUGUGGGUGGAGCGGUGAAAUGCGUUGAUAUCCACAGGAACUCCGGUGGCGAAGGCGGCGUUCUGGACUGCAUCUGACACUGAAAGACGAAAGCCAGGGGAGCAAACGGG
rnacentral:rRNA from 1 species